rnacentral:rRNA from 1 species
AAGGCCCCCCUGUGCAAAGGGGUACCCCCGAAGGGCCCCCGGAAAAAGGGGGCUUUUCGGUGGUCUAAAAAGCCAAGGGAAUAAAAGGGGGGCAAGAUUGGUGUCAGCCGCCGCGGUAACACCAGCCCCUCGAGUGGUGGGGAUGAUUAUUUGGCCUAAAGCGUCCGUAGCCGGCCUUGUAAGUCUCCCGUUAAAUCCAGCGUCUCAAGCGUUGGACUGCGGGAGAUACUGCUCGGCUAGAGAGUGGGAGAGGUGUGCGGUAUUCUGGGGGUAGGGGCGAAAUCCUUUGAUCCCCGGAGGACCACCAGUGGCGAAGGCUGCACACUAGAACACGUCUGACGGUCAGGGACGAAAGCUGGGGUAGCGAACCGGAUUAGAUACCCGGGUAGUCCCAGCUGUAAACGAUGCAUGCUAGGUGUUGGGUCGGCCAUGAGCCGCCUCAGUGCCGCAGGGAAGCCGUUAAGCAUGCCGCCUGGGGAGUACGGCCGCAAGGCUGAAACUUAAAGGAAUUGGCGGGGGA